rnacentral:rRNA from 1 species
GAUGAACGCUGGCGGCGUGCUUAACACAUGCGAGUCGAACGAACCUUCGGGUUAGUGGCGGACGGGUGAGUAACGCGUGAGAAUCUGCCCUCAGGAGGGGGAUAACAGCUGGAAACGGCUGCUAAUACCCCAUAUGCCGCGAGGUGAAAUGAAUUUCGCCUGAGGAUGAACUCGCGUCUGAUUAGCUAGUUGGUGUAGGUAAUGGCUCACCAAGGCAUCGAUCAGUAGCUGGUCUGAGAGGAUGAUCAGCCACACUGGGACUGAGACACGGCCCAGACUCCUACGGGAGGCAGCAGUGGGGAAUUUUCCGCAAUGGGCGAAAGCCUGACGGAGCAACGCCGCGUGAGGGAUGAAGGCCUCUGGCUGUAAACCUCUUUUAUCAAGGAAGAAGAUCUGACGGUACUUGAUGAAUAAGCCACGGCUAAUUCCGUGCC